rnacentral:tRNA from 14 species
GUUUGGUGGAAUUGGUAGACACGACAGACUUAAAAUUUGUUUCUUUUUGAGUAUCGGUUCAAAUCCGAUAA